CCCAGCUCUAAGUCAGCUGACCAGGCCCUGAGUGCCUGGUUCAGUGUUACAGGGCUGGCAGAGAAAGCCUCUGCACUGUGUCUCAGCAGCGCCCCCUCUGUUUUAGAGGCUGUCGCUGCUGGGCUGCUGCAGAGCACGGCCCAAAGAGAGUGGCUCGUCCUGGUUCUACAGCGGGACGGGCCUAGUAGAGGGCUGCACAGU
ensembl:snoRNA SNORA74 Small nucleolar RNA SNORA74